rnacentral:rRNA from 1 species
AGAGUUUGAUCCUGGCUCAGAACGAACGCUGGCGGCGCGGAUUAGGCAUGCAAGUCGAACGGGAUUUGCUUGGUUCAAGUUUUCGGACGAGAACCUUGCAAUGAGAGUGGCGGAAGGGUGAGUAACACGUGGGUAACUUGCCCUCAAGUGCGGGAUAGCCCCCCGAAAGGGAGGAUAAUACCGCAUGUGGUCGUCUCCCGCAUGGGAGACUUUCUAAGGUGGGGAUCUUCGGACCUGCCGCUUGAGGAUAGGCCCGCGUCCCAUCAGCUUGUUGGUGAGGUAACGGCCCACCAAGGCUUACGGGUAGCUGGUCUGAGAGGAUGGUCAGCCACACUGGGACUGAGACACUGCCCAGACUCCUACGGGAGGCUGCAGUCGAGAAUCAUUCGCAAUGCGCGAAAGCGUGACGAUGCGACGCCGCGUGCAGGACGACGGCCUUCGGGUUGUAAACUGCUGUCAUGAGGGAGUAACGAGGACCGGGUGAAUAGCCCGGACCUGUGAGAGUACCUCAGGAGGAAGCCACGGCUAACUCUGUGCCAGCAGCCGCGGUAAUACAGAGGUGGCAAGCGUUGUUCGGAUUUACUGGGCGUAAAGGGUGCGUAGGCGGUUCCGUGUGUCAGAUGUGAAAGCCCACUGUUCAUCGGUGGAAUUGCAUUUGAAACUGCGGGGCUUGAGUUCGGGAUGGGAGAGCGGAAUUCCUGGUGUAGCGGUGAGAUGCGUAGAUAUCAGGAGGAACGCCGGUGGCGAAGGCGGCUCUCUGGAACGACACUGACGCUGAGGCACGAAAGCUAGGGGAGCAAACAGGAUUAGAUACCCUGGUAGUCCUAGCUGUAAACGUUGUGUACUUGGUGUGGGAGGAUUUAGCCCCUUCCGUGCCGGAGCUAACGCGUUAAGUACACCGCCUGGGGAGUACGGUCGCAAGGCUAAAACUCAAAGGAAUUGACGGGGGCCCGCACAAGCGGUGGAGCAUGUGGCUUAAUUCGAUGCAACGCGAAGAACCUUACCUGGGUUUGACAUGUGACUGCACGCUGGCCGAAAGGCCGGAAGCCUUCGAGGGUGUCACACAGGUGCUGCAUGGCUGUCGUCAGCUCGUGCCGUGAGGUGUUGGGUUAAGUCCCGCAACGAGCGCAACCCUUAUAUUUAGUUGCCAGUCCGCAAGGGCGCACUCUAAAUAGACUGCCUGUGAUAAGCAGGAGGGAGGUGGGGAUGACGUCAAGUCGGUAUGGUCCUUAUAUCCAGGGCUGCACACGUGCUACAAUGGCCGGUACAAAGGGAAGCAAGACCGCGAGGUGGAGCCAAUCCUCAAAGCCGGCCCCAGUUCGGAUUGAAGUCUGCAACUCGACUUCAUGAAGCCGGAAUCGCUAGUAAAGGGGCAUCAGCUACGGCCCCUUGAAUACGUUCCCGGGCCUUGCACACACCGCCCGUCACAUCAUGAAAGCCGAUUGCACCCGAAGUCGCUGGUCUAACCCGCAAGGGAAGAAGGCGCCGAAGGUGUGGUUGGUAAUUGGGAUGAAGUCGUAACAAGGUA